AAGUCGUAACAAGGUUUCCGUAGGUGAACCUGCGGAAGGAUCAUUAACACGUAUCCACGUUAUCAAACCAAUGAGAACCGUUUUCCCGUCUCCCUGCUGCAUGAAAUGAAUUGGUAACCAGUUUGAGGGGUUGAUGGGGCUGUCUAAGCGCGACCUUCCUGGCACACUGACGUUUAUUCGUCGACAAUUGUAUUCGUGUUCUGCAGGCUUAAUUCUUUUACUCGCUUUGACUUCCAUCAUAGUCGUGGCGGUAAGGGAGCCCUAACAAAACUAUAUUUACCCCCUUUUUGCUAGUUGACUUUUUAUAUGUGUUGUUCGAUUGCGUCAUUGCAAUGGCUCGGCACACGUUUAUUAAUUGAACGUUAAAAAAUACAACUCUUAGCAAUGGAUAUCUUGGUUCUC
rnacentral:misc_RNA from 1 species